AUACCCCACUAUGCCUAGUCAUAAACUUUAAUUUACACCUCAAUCGCCAGGGAAUUACGAGCUAAACUUAAAACCCAAAGGACUUGACGGUACCCAAAAUCCAUCUAGAGGAGCCUGUCCCGUAAUCGAUAACCCACGUUAAACCUCACCACUCCUAGCCUAUCAGCCUGUAUACUUCCGUCGCAAGCCUGCCACGUGAGUGAAAAUUAGCAGACCAAAUGUUUACUUACAAUACGUCAGGUCAAAGUGCAGCAAAUGGACUGGAAGAGAUGGGCUACACUUUCUAAUAUAGAACACACGAAAGACUUUAUGAAACCUAGUCAGAAGGCGGAUUUAGCAGUAAAAAGAAACAGAAUACUCUUUUUAACACGGCACUAGGGUGUGUACACACCGCCCGUCACCC
rnacentral:rRNA from 1 species